rnacentral:tRNA from 1 species
GGGGUUGUGGCUCAGUGGUAGAGUGCUCACCUAGCACAUAAGAGGCCCUGAGUUUGAUCCUCGGCACCACA